GUUCUUAUAGCUUAAACUAAAAGCAUAGCACUGAAGAUGCUAGGAUAGUCAAUGACUUAAGAGCA
rnacentral:tRNA from 2 species